rnacentral:rRNA from 1 species
GACGAACGCUGGCGGCGUGCUUAACACAUGAAAGUCGAACGAAGUGGCGAACGGGUGAGUAACGCGUAAUCAACCUGCCCUUCAGAGGGGGACAACCGUUGGAAAAGACUGCUAAUACCGCAUACUGAAGGAGGUGCUUGGGGUUGAUUAGCUAGUUGGAGGGGUAACGGCCCACCAAGGCGAUGAUCAGUAGCCGGUCUGAGAGGAUGAACGGCCACAUUGGGACUGAGACACGGCCCAGACUCCUACGGGAGGCAGCAGUGGGGAAUAUUGGACAAUGGGCGAAAGCCUGAUCCAGCCAUGCCGCGUGUGUGAAGAAGGUCUUCGGAUUGUAAAGCACUUUAAGUUGGGAGGCGUUACCAACAGAAUAAGCACCGGCUAACUUCGUGCCAGCCGCCGCGGUAAUAC